rnacentral:rRNA from 1 species
UUUAAAUGUGAAUUGUUUUCUUAAAUUAUUAAUAGCUAUGUUCUUUAAAAUUAAAAAAUUUGGCGGUAUUUUAGUCUGUUCAGAGGAACCUGUUUUUUAAUCGAUAGUCCACGAUGAUUCUUACUUUUUUUAGAAAUUUACAUAUCGUUGUUUAUAAAAAUUUUAGGAGAAUAUUAAUUUUUUUGUUUUUUUAUUAGAAUUUAUUUCAGAUCAAGGUGUAGUUUAUAGAAAAGUAAAAAUGGGUUACAAUUAUUGAAUUAUUGGAUUUAAGUUUUAAAAUUUUAAUAAAAUUGGAUUUGAUAGUAAUUUCUUUAUUUUUGGGAUUUGAUUUAGCUCUAAGAUAUGC